UGGAAAUGUAAGUCUCUUGAAGGUAGGGAAUACUUCUUUUUACAUUUGUAUUUUCACUGCCUGAUACAGUUUUGACAUUUUUCAUUUAUUUUUAUUAAUUGAUUAAUACAAUGAGGAAUUGAAAGAAUGAUCAAGAGAGGAGAACUUUGAAAAGAAAAUGAUCAGCUGUCUGAAACAUUUUAUGGUAGGAGCCAAUACUAAAAGAUGGGUUUAUUCAUGAAGAUCUCUAGACUCUGUCUUCUAAAAGGUCAUGGGAGAAUAUUGUGGACUACAUGGUUAACACAUCUGAUAUAGUAGUCAAUGCCCCAGAUUUGGAGAUAGAAGACCUGGCUUAGACUAGAUCUCCUAUUUACUAUCACUAUGACCUUAGGCUCAGCACUGAUCACACAUUCUCCUGAAAGCAAAACCUACAAAUAAAAGAAUGCCUGCAAAGAAGAACCAAUUCUGGUUUGACCUGAACAACCUCACCA